AUUGAACGCUGGCGGCAUGCUUUACACAUGCAAGUCGAACGGUAACAGGCCUUCGGGUGCUGACGAGUGGCGAACGGGUGAGUAAUGCAUCGGAACGUGCCCAAUCGUGGGGGAUAACGUAGCGAAAGUUACGCUAAUACCGCAUAAGCCCUGAGGGGGAAAGGGGGGGACCGCAAGGCCUCACGCGAAUGGAACGGCCGAGGUCAGCUUAGCCAGUUGGUGGGGUAAAGGCCCACCAAGGCGACGAUUUGUAGCGGGUCUGAGAGGAUGAUCGGCCACACUGGGACUGGGACACGGCCCAGACUCCUAGGGGAGGCAGCAGUGGGGAAUUUUGGACAAUGGGCGCAAGCCUGAUCCAGCCAUGCCGCGUGCGGGACGAAGGCCUUCGGGUUGUAAACCGCUUUCAGCCGGAAAGAAAUCGCUGUUUUUAAUACGGGCAGUGGAUGACGGUACCGGAAGAAGAAGCACCGGCUAACUACGUGCCAGCCGCCGCCGUAAAAC
rnacentral:rRNA from 1 species